rnacentral:rRNA from 1 species
AACGAACGCUGGCGGCAUGCCUAACACAUGCCAGUCGAACGAGACCUUCGGGUCUAGUGGCGCACGGGUGCGUAACGCGUGGGAACCUGCCCUUAGGUUCGGAAUAACUCCCCGAAAGGGGUGCUAAUACCGGAUAAUGUCUUCGGACCAAAGAUUUAUCGCCUUUGGGUGGGCCCGCGUUGGAUUAGCUAGUUGGUAGGGUAAAAGCCUACCAAGGCGACGAUCCAUAGCUGGUCUGAGAGGAUGAUCAGCCACACUGGGACUGAGACACGGCCCAGACUCCUACGGGAGGCAGCAGUGGGGAAUAUUGGACAAUGGGCGAAAGCCUGAUCCAGCAAUGCCGCGUGAGUGAUGAAGGCCUUAGGGUUGUAAAGCUCUUUUACCCGGGAUGAUAAUGACAGUACCGGGAGAAUAAGCUCCGGCUAACUCCGUG